ACAUACAGAAGACAGUAAAGAGGCCUGGAGAUUGAAGGCAGCUGGGGUUGUUUCUUCACAAAAACACACAUAUACGCCUAUACACAGAAGGAGACGCAUGUAAGAGAGGGCUGCAGAGUUGUGAUUUCUUCUUAACAAAUCCACGCAGAUACAAACACAUAUAUACGGAUACACUAUAGAAUAGAUAGGGAAGGGACGCCUGUAAAAGCUGAGACCGGAGGACACCCAAAUACCCCUCCCAGCGUUCUGCCUUUUCAAGCACACGAUCCCGCGCUUGAAAAUCAAUCACGCGAAACAAGCACACACUCUAAACGUGCUUCACACACUCUAAACGUGCUUUCACCUCUCUUCUGAACUAAAACAAAACAAAAAUAGCAGGAGAAGGGAAUUGAAAUGGAAACAGAAAAAGGGCAACAAGAACGGGAAAACAGGAGAGUUGAAAAAUAGUGAGAACAGAGGGAUCGAACGGACUUGUUUCAUUCUCAUUUCGAGUUCGAAUCUCUUUGAUUUUCAUGUUGAUUUCUGGUUUGCUUCUAAUUUUGAGUCGGGUCCCUAUCUAAGGUGAGUGGGGAUGUCGUUGAUAGUCUCGUCGAGGUUUCUGUUUGAGAUUGUUGUGUCGAGGUCUCUGUUCCAAACGAUUCCGAAUCCAAGUGCUAUUUGAUCCCAAGGUGCAUAUCAUAAAUCUAUGUUGUCCUUUGAUUUGCAAGAAAUGAUGGCUAACUAGUCUGAAUCCUUUGAUUGACUGAUUCAUUUAGCUUUGCAAGAAUUCUGUCUAGAUCUUCUUAAGCUCUAAAUAUGUAUAUUAUAUAUGAUUUUGUGUUGGAUCAUGAUUGAAGUUAAAUUAAAUGUGAUAGUGUUGAUAACUCUAUGUAUUAUUUAUUGAUGUAUUUUGUUUAAAUCACAGUAUCUCUAGAUAUAAUAGCAACGAAUAUGCUCUAAAUUUUGCUGCGCCUCCUUCUGUAAGAUAUCACCUUAUUUCAAGCUUAAUUAGUUCAAAUUGAAGGGUGAAAAUUGUGUGUGGUGACUCUUGUGACAUAGUUUAAACCAGAGGGUCAUGUGUAAAGCUUUACUUAUGAUGGUGGUCGAGCAAUUGCGUGUUUGUUUAUCAUAGAAGCCAUGAUCGAUCUUUUAAGCUUGUUACAUAUUCAGUAAUAUGGUUAUCUUCUGCAAAUACUUGCCGAGCAAUUGCGUGUUUUUUUAUCAUAGAAGCCAUGAUCGAUCUUCUAAGUUUGUUACAUAUUUGGUAAUAUGGUUAUCUCCUGCAAAUACUUGUAGCACUUUGCUGCACAUUAAUACGAUGACUCUUACCAAAAUGUUUGCUUUAUUUAUGUGUGUGUAGUGGUUACGAACUGUAGAUAUGCUAUUGUUCAUCUAUUAAAUACAUCUCCUAUUCUUAUCUGUUAGUUUUGAAGUCUGUUAGCUUGGUGAGACCGUGUGGAGUCGAAUUGGUUUACAUUAGUUGAACAAGGUUGCAUUGUGAUUGAAUCCAAUUUCAAAUUCUAGAAAGUUGGUUCAGUGUUUGUUUGAUGGAUCACUAUAUAGAUUUCCUUGUAAAAAAUAAAGUUUUGUCAUGUCUAUUAAUUUAAAGUUCUAGCCAUAACAUUUUUUUUUCUCUUAGUUAAUUUUCUUAAAAUAAUUUAGUCAACUUUAGUAUUUUGAUUUUAUAGGAAAUAUAGUUCCGUGAAUAGCUGAGAUGUGAAUCUUUUAUAAUUUACUAUUAAUUUAACAUAAUUUUGAAGAAGCUCCAAAACUUCAGAAUGAUUCCUACAUCUAUUGCCA
rnacentral:lncRNA from 1 species